rnacentral:misc_RNA from 1 species
UGUGGGAGCGAGCCUGCUCGCGAUUGCGUCGGUUCAGCCAGUACAGAGGUUGACUGACCCAUGGCAAUCGCGAGCAGGCUCGCUCCCACA